ACUGCUCAGUAACACGUGGACAACCUGCCCUUAGGUUGGGUAUAAACCCGGGAAACUGGGUAUAAUACCCGAUAGGUCUCGAUUGCUGGAAUGCAUCGAGAUUUAAAGCUCCGGCGCCUAAGGAUGGGUCUGCGGCCUAUCAGGUAGUAGUGGGUGUAGCGUACCUACUAGCCUACGACGGGUACGGGUUGUGAGAGCAAGAGCCCGGAGAUGGAUUCUGAGACACGAAUCCAGGCCCUACGGGGUGCAGCAGGCGCGAAAACUUUACAAUGCUGGCAACAGCGAUAAGGGAACCUCGAGUGCCAGGUUACAAAUCUGGCUGUCGAGAUGCCUAAAAAGCAUUUCAUAGCAAGGGCCGGGCAAGACCGGUGCCAGCCGCCGCGGUAACACCGGCGGCUCGAGUGGUAACCGUUAUUAUUGGGUCUAAAGGGUCUGUAGCCGGCCGGAUAAGUCUCUUGAGAAAUCUGGCAGCUUAACUGUCAGGCUUUCAGGAGAUACUGUCUGGCUCGAGGCCGGGAGAGGUGAGAGGUACUUCAGGGGUAGGGGUGAAAUCUUGUAAUCCUUGAAGGACCACCAGUGGCGAAGGCGUCUCACCAGAACGGACCUGACGGCAAGGGACGAAAGCUAGGGGCACGAACCGGAUUAGAUACCCGGGUAGUCCUAGCCGUAAACGAUACUCGCUAGGUGUCGGCCACGGUGCGACCGUUGUCGGUGCUGUAGGGAAGCCGUGAAGCGAGCCACCUGGGAAGUACGGCCGCAAGGCUGAAACUUAAAGGAAUUGGCGGGGGAGCAC
rnacentral:rRNA from 1 species